CCUACGGGUGGCAGUAGUCGAGAAUCAUUCACAAUGGGGGAAACCCUGAUGGUGCGACGCCGCGUGGGGGAAUGAAGGUCUUCGGAUUGUAAACCCCUGUCAUGUGGGAGCAAAUUAAAAAGAUAGUACCACAAGAGGAAGAGACGGCUAACUCUGUGCCAGCAGCCGCGGUAAUACAGAGGUCUCAAGCGUUGUUCGGAAUCACUGGGCGUAAAGCGUGCGUAGGCUGUUUCGUAAGUCGUGUGUGAAAGGCGCGGGCUCAACCCGCGGACGGCACAUGAUACUGCGAGACUAGAGUAAGGGAGGGGGAACCGGAAUUCUCGGUGUAGCAGUGAAAUGCGUAGAUAUCGAGAGGAACACUCGUGGCGAAGGCGGGUUCCUGGACAUUAACUGACGCUGAGGCACGAAGGCCAGGGGAGCGAAAGGGAUUAGAUACCCUUGUAGUC
rnacentral:rRNA from 1 species